GCCCGAUCGUAGCCCGACUUUGAACCAUAUCGAGCAUAUAUGGGACACUAUUGGGCGGAAAGUGCGCGAAAGGACACCCCAGUUCAAACACAUCAUGAAAUAAACAAUGCCCUUCAUCAGAAAUGGUUGCUGCUACCUUAGAAACAAAUUAGUCGAUUUAUGGCAGGAAUCAGAAGACGUUAAGAUGCGGUUAUCCGUUUGAAUGGAGGCUGCGCACAAAGUACUAAUUCUUUGGCAUAUAACGAUCAACCAUGAUGUGAACAGUCAUCUGAAGAUUAAUUUUGAAAUGUCUGACAUUGUAAAGUUCGACUACAGUAAAAGUUGUAAAAUGC
rnacentral:lncRNA from 1 species